GACGAACGCUGGCGGCGUGCCUAAUACAUGCAAGUAGGACGCAGUUGCGAACGGGUGAGUAACGCGUAGGUAACUACCUAUUAGAGGUGGAUAACUAUUGGAAACGAUAGCUAAUACCGCAUACUAGUAGAUGGACCUGCUUUGUAUUAGCUAGUAGGUAGGGUAAUGGCCUACCUAGGCAACGAUACAUAGCCGACCUGAGGAGGUGAUCGGGCAAACUGGGACUGAGAAACGGCCCAAGCUCCUACGGGGGGCAGCAGUAGGGAAACUUCGCGAAUGGGGGGAAACCUGACCGAGCAAAGCCGCGGGAGGGAAGAAGGUUUUCGGAUCGUAAAGCUCUGUUGUUAAGGGAGCGGUACUUAACCAGAAAGGGACGGCUAACUACGUGCCAGCAGCCGCGGUAAUUC
rnacentral:rRNA from 1 species